UUAAUUUCAAUAUUGGUUGUCGCAACCAAAUUGUUUCUAUACCUUUGAUACUAUAUGGGACCAUCGGUAUUCGGUUGGCAAAAAAAUUGCUCUUUCAUCGAUGCAGUUCUUUUCCCCAUGCCUGGGGAGUACUUUGACUGUGAUACCAUCAAUGUAUAGUACUUGGGCAAAUAUUUGCUCACAAACAGCGGGAGCGUUAAUAUGGGCCAAACCCUAAUUUACGUUCAUUCACAAAUCCGGGCUUUCUGGCAGAUUGAUUUGUGCGAUUUGCGCAUAACUCACAGAUAAAGGAGGAAAAACGGCAGCGACAAAGAAGAGCGAAUUCCAAACCAAAAUGAAGGAUAUCUUACAGGAUAUGUGUACAUAUAAAUGUAUAGACUCAAUUUCGAAGCUGCAGACCAAGAACAAUAAACUUGUUGAAAAGCUCUUAAAUUAAAA